CCUACGGGGGGCAGCAGUGAGGAAUAUUGGUCAAUGGACGAGAGUCUGAACCAGCCAAGUAGCGUGAAGGAUGACUGCCCUAUGGGUUGUAAACUUCUUCUAUAAAGGAAUAAAACGAGGCACGUGUGCCUUUUUGCAUGUACUUUAUGAAUAAGGAUCGGCUAACUCCGUGCCAGCAGCCGCGGUAAUCCGGAGGAUCCGAGCGUUAUCCGGAUUUAUUGGGUUUAAAGGGAGCGUAGAUGGGUUGUUAAGUCAGUUGUGAAAGUUUGCGGCUCAACCGUAAAAUUGCAAUUGAAACUGGGAGUCUUGAGUACAGUUGAGGUAGGCGGAAUUCGUGGUGUAGCGGUGAAAUGCUUAGAUAUCACGAAGAACCCCGAUUGCGAAGGCAGCUUACUAAACUGUGACUGACAUUGAUGCUCGAAAGUGUGGGUAUCAAACAGGAUUAGAUACCCGAGUAGUC
rnacentral:rRNA from 1 species